UGAGUUCAAGUAAUAGUAAAACAUAUGUUGCCGUGACUUAUUGAUCUCAUCACUUUUUAGUGUUGUUUGUAUAUAUCUUUUAUAUCUUGUAAAAAUAAAGUUUUCAUACAUUAUGAUAGUUUUUGAUGUGAUGCCUUCAGUUUAUGAUUCAAUUUCUAAUAUGAAAACUAUCCUAUUAAUGAGAAUCUAAUGAGGAUCACAAGUGCAUUGGAAAUAAUGAGAGUGACAGAAAAAGCCCUCAAGUAAAACAUCUGGAUGCAUCACGGUGAAAUAUGACUUGGACUUUGUAUGGUUAACC